CCAGGAGCGGGUCAGAAGUUAAAGGCUGAAAGUUCUGGAACAUCCACCAAAGAAGAUCUUUCCAAAACUGAGAGAUCAGUACCGUCUCUAACGCAACAACAGUUUGAAGCGGUAACAAGACUCAAAGGACAAAACAAGGGCGUUUCCCGGCUGGCCAUUUUAUCGGAAUUAUCCAGGUCUAGCGAUGUGAUAAAUCUCAACUAUGGCUCCCACUCGACCAACUCUAGCAGUAUCUUUGAAGAUGAACGCUUCAGACUGCACCUUGCUCCUCCACGGGAGUAGAUUGAUACCAGCAUUGCGUGACAGUUAAGUGACCUUGUAUACGUGACAGCAAAUAGGUGUGAGGUGGCCUGGGUAGACUGCGAGCAGUCUCCCUUUUGCUGGAAAAUCCGAGGGGAAAAACGCAAACGAAUAGAGGCGAGGGUUAAGCCGCGAGAGGGGCUCGGCUCGGUUCCUUUGCGUUAUUCCCGAUUCCUCCCGCGGAUUUUCGAGCGAAAGAGAGACUGUUCGCAGUUAUGGCGUGGCGUGACCAGUCAGCAGAGUGACUUUGAUUAGUAACGUGGCUUUUCGUUGUCAAAAUCCCGGCUGGUGCAAAAUUGGGUGGCAUUCCGACGUGACAGCAAAGCAAAGUUGCGUGAUUAGACAACGUCACCAAAGUCGCUCCACCUCCUUAAGACUUAAUUGAUUGACUGAAGCGUUGUGUUACUCCAGUACGUUGUAGCCUUCCGGUGGCUUGGUUUGUGGCUUCUCUUCGUCGUGCAUGAAUAAACUAUGUCCGACAACGUGACUUCGUGGCAGGAUCUACAAGCUGUCGCUUCCGCUCGUGACGUGAAACAUUAUGAAACGACAUCGUAAUCUUGUGGCGUGACAGCUAGAGCACCGGAAGUCGAAAUCAAGUCGUGUCCAAACUAUUCCGCGCACUCUUGAGUUGUCUUUUGACGUUGCGUUUCUUUGUUCAGCCUACAAUGAGAGGUGUUUUGGAGUUUAGUAAGGAAAGUCUGGAUGUUGACAUUGACCCUUAUCAAGUUAUGAUACACAUUUUCAUUUUCGUUGAGCAAGAAUUGCCGGUUGGAUUUGCUGCACUGUUGGACCACACCAGUUUUUGUCGAGUACAACUGGAAGACUUGAGAACGAAAAUAUUGCUCAAUUUGCUUAAGACAACGUAGUUUAGUCUGGCAUUCCAAUACAAACUUUCGUAUCCUGCCUAUCUCACUGAGCCAACUGUUCUUCAACAAGCUGCAACCGGUACCGUUUAUCGAAUAAUGAUGCCUUUUUGGUAGAAAGUAUAUACGUACGUCCACAAUCGGUUUCUAUGUUUUUAAGAAAGUGAAAAUAUUUGAACAUUUUAAGGCGCCAGAUAUUUUUUACACGUAAAAGUUGAAAAUUAGUAGGAAAAAAGAAAAAAAAAAAACGAAAAAAGGCAAAAUGGUUUUCUAGCAAACGAAGUAGACGUUAUUAGGUAUUUUAAGUGAA